GGAUAAAUCCUCUUUUCCUUGACGCCAACUCCAGCAGGCUUCUGUUGCUAAGGGUCCGAAGGGAUUGGCUGAGAUACUGCAGGCAAAGGGGGAUCUGUGGAUUUGGCCAACUACACUGUGAGGCUGAGCCUGGGCUGCUAUUCCUGGCUGGACCCCAUUCUCAUCAUCAUCAGCCUUCCUGGAUCUGAAAUCUGUGAUAGAUCCAGCUUGGUUUCAGUCAAGCCCAGCGAUUGCCGUUCUAAGCAAUAUGGGAUUGUUGUUAUUUGUGAGCACAUUAGGGCAGAUUUGGAUCCUGACUGUGCAUCUCACUUCACCUAUCUAAGCCUUGACUUUCCAAUCUGUAAAAAGUGGAUAAUUCCUCCCUCCUCCUUGUGUGUAAGAUCAUGUAUUUAGUUCAUAUGUGUGUACUGAGUAAAUACUACAUUCUGUGAAUAAAACAGACAGAUCUUCUCA